rnacentral:rRNA from 1 species
CCUUUCUGCAGUCUUCUGGACUUCUCUGUUCUUCUUUCCUCACACAAGUUGCUCUCUUGAUUCACUGCAUUCAGGAUGCUCGUCCUAACCUGAAGCCACCCCCGCACCUGGUGCUUUGACGGGGUGACCAUCGACGGCGAUUGAGGGUUAGCAGGGCCCAAGGAUCUACUACACCAGAGUCUAGGCAAGAUCAUCGAUCUGGACGCUGCCGUUGAUGCUGUCGUCCGUGUCGUUGAUUUGGUCUUGGAUUUCAUCUCCCGCAGGCCUGCAACGGCAACAUUGUUCCAAAUUGAGCUGCAGGUGAUAUCAUAUUUGUGACAUGAAGAGUAAGAGAGCCACAUGUCAAUCUUAAGGAGGUGUUUUUUGGGAAUGUUUAUAUGUUCCAAUCAUGCCAUGUAUCUUCAUCUCCAGUUGGAUGGAGCUGCUGGUAUUACGACAGGAACCCACCAUAGCAUCUGAGAGAUAUCCUAUGGCCACUGGAGGAAGAUAAUUCUGAAGUUGAUCUCGAAGUUUGGGUCGCCGGAGGAAGAUGAUGUGCGAGGAAGAUCAUGUAGAAGUUGUAACCUAAAAUCUCGAGGACAACGAACCUAUGAGGUCGUGGGGAAGGUCUUAUAUGGAUGGUUAAGUUUCUCAUGUUUGCACGAUGGAAAAAAAUUGGAUUCCAUGUGGACACAUAUUCUGUUUGGAGAGAUAUGAUAUUUUCGAUUUCGUUAGGCACAUUAGACCUUUUUUUGGGAUGGCCUCAUCGCUGAUGGCAUGGUCCAUCCUGUAUGCGUGCGAUGGCCCAACCUGCAUGUUUUUUUCUUCUUAAUGAUGCGUGAUGCAUGUGUGUUUCUGAUCCCUCACGGGAUGGUCCAACCAUUGGGGUUGUGGUUGGGAUCGUGAAAAUCAAACGUGAAGCCGUCAUUGGACGCUAUGGACCCAGAUCAUUUACGAAGAUCGAAUGGUU